CCCUGGAGUACAGCACAGCAAGGGCAGACAUGCUCCCCACAGCUGGAAUCGCCCCUCCCAGUGCCAGCUCUCCCCUGAGCUGCGGGGAUUUGCCGCUGGAAUGACAGCAGCAGGUUGCAGGGGCCGGAUGACAGGCAGAACCCCCAGCAGUUAGCAGCGCAGCCGAGGCUCGGGGGGCUGCAGGGGCUCCCCGACUGCAGGGCCCCCCAGCCUGGGCGGGCCCAGCCGCUCACCUGCAGCAGCUUCAUCCCCACCAGCUGCAGCCCCUUCCUCUCGAAGCGCCGGAUGAUCUCCCCGACCAGGCGCCGCUGGACCCCGUCCGGCUUGAUGGCCACGAAGGUCUUCUCAAAGAUCCUGGUGCAGGCACUUGGGUGAAGGUUUUCAUUUCCUUGGACUGUAAAUGUUCUUUGGAGCCUCAGGCAGUUCCCUGCAGCAGAAUUUGGAGGAGAAACAUGUCAAACACUCUCUGCUUGGGCCUAUGGAGAAUGCAGCACACAAGGUGACAAGUGACACCCUCUGAGCAUCCCAGUGACAUGGGACAUCAGUGGCAAAGACCAUUGCAUUGG